AGAGGGUGCAAGCGUUAAUCGGAAUAAUUGGGGCGUAAAGGGGUGCGUAGGCGGUUAUAUGUGUCUUGUGUGAAAGUCUAUGGGCUCAACCAUAGAAUGCCACAAGAAACUGUAUAACUAGAGUACUGUAGAGGAUGGUGGAAUUUCUGGUGUAGCGGUGAAAUGCGUAGAUAUCAGAAGGAACAUCAGUGGCGAAGGCGACCAUCUGGCCAGAUACUGACGCUGAGGCACGAAAGCGUGGGUAGCGAACAGGAUUAGAUACCCUGGUAGUCCACGCCGUAAACGAUGAGUAUUAGCUGUUAAUAUCGAAAGGUAAUAGUGGCGAAGCAAACGCGCUAAAUACUCCGCCUGGGGAGUACGGCCGCAAGGUUA
rnacentral:rRNA from 1 species